rnacentral:rRNA from 1 species
AUUGAACGCUGGCGGCAUGCCUUACACAUGCAAGUCGAACGGCAGCACGGGGCAACCUGGUGGCGAGUGGCGAACGGGUGAGUAAUAUAUCGGAACGUACCCUGGAGUGGGGAGUAACGUAGCGAAAGUUAACGCUAAUACCGCAUACGAUCUAAGGAUGAAAGUAGGGGGCGUUCGCAAGAACCUCAUGCUCCUGGAGCGGCCGAUAUCUGAUUAGCUAGUGGUAGGGUAAAGACCUACCAAGGCUUCGAUCAGUAGCUGGUCUGAGAGGACGACCAGCCACACUGGAACUGAGACACGGUCCAGACUCCUACGGGAGGCAGCAGGUGGGGAAGUUUUGGUACAAUGGGCGCAAGCCUGAUCCAGCAAUGCCGCGUGAGUGAAGAAGGCC